rnacentral:rRNA from 1 species
UGAGGAACAUGACCUUCGGCGGGGGAUAGCCGGCCCAACGGCCGGGUAAUACCGCGUACGACCACAUGGGGACAUCCCUGAGUGGUGAAAGCAGCAAUGCGCCGAUGGAGUGCCUCGCGGCCUAUCAGCUAGUUGGUGAGGUAACGGCUCACCAAGGCGACGACGGGUAGCUGGUCUGGAGAGGGUGACCCGGCCACACUGGGACUGAGACAUGGCCCAGACUCCUAGGGAGG